rnacentral:tRNA from 1 species
UUUAAUUAAUUAAUUAAUUGGCAGAAAAAUGCAUUAGAAUUAGAAUCUAAUAAAACUAAUAAUCUUAUUUAUAUUAUCCUACCUAAUCAUUAUUAUUAGA